AUUGAACGCUGGCGGCAGGCCUAACACAUGCAAGUCGACCGAGUGGCGGACGGGUGAGUAAUGUCUGGGAAACUUCCUGAUGGAUGGGGAUCACUACUUGAAACGGUAGCUAAUCCCGCAUACCCUCAUAUGUGCCCAGAUGGGAUUAGCUAGUUGGUGGGGUAACGGCUCACCAAGGCGACGAUCCCUAACGGGUCUGAGCGGAUAACCAUCCACACUGGAACGGGGAAACGUUCCAGACUCCUACGGGAGGCAGCAGGGGGGAAUAUUGCACAAUGGGCGCAAGCCUGAUGCAGCCAUGCCGCGGGUAUGAAGAAGGCCUUCGGGUUGUAAAGUACUUUCAGCGGGUAGGCGGUACCCGCAGAAGAAGCACCGGCUAACUACGUGCCAGCAGCCGCGGUAAUAC
rnacentral:rRNA from 1 species